CAGGGUGUUGCGACUGGUGGACUAAGCGAUCGAAGCGCGUUGGCACAUUAGAGUUGGACCGGAUUCGUAUGUCCAAGAGUGUUAUUGUCCGUGAGCCAGGUGGGCAUAACCGAUUGCUUGUCAAGGGUGCGGUCGAGAGGGUGUUAGAUUGUAGCUCACACGUUCAACUUGCGGACGGGUGUGUUGUAGAGAUGGACAAAUCGUGUAGACAACUAUUGCUUUCACGGCAUGUGGAAAUGAGUUCAAAGGGGUUACGGUGCUUGGGUUUAGCUUAUAAGGACGAUGCGGCGGGAGGAAACCAGAAAUGAGAAAGCGUUUCGCAACAAUUAACUCGAGAAUGGAGGUUAAGAGGCUCUACGACGUCGUUUCCGGUGCUCCGGUGGUAGAGAUCUUCAGUUUGAUGGUUCAGACGGUUGUGGAUGCUCAGAGAUCUGUUUAUUGGCUUCUGUUUUUGGUAAAUCUGUUUAUUGGCUUCUUUGUCCGUUAUCUGUCUAAGUUUUUUCUCGGGUUUUGUUUAAUGCUUGAUUCUUUGUCCGUUGACUUUCUAUCGACAUUAUAUUUCGCUAUUAUCAGUAACUAUAUAACCUACUCAUGCUUUUUUUAAUUUUGUCUUGUACAUGGAUAAUUAGUUUUUUAACUAUGAUAAAGAAGUUAAAAGAUAAUGUGUAUGGAUCGCAACUAACAAAUUAACUAAUUAGGUGAUAGGUUCAUGUAUUUGUUUUAUUUUCAGCUAAAAACAUCAGAAGAUGAAAACGAUCUUAAUUAAGGAUUUUGAAUAGACAUCAUAGCUUAGGUGCGAUAUUAUUGUGUUAUAUGUUGAAAAUGACGCACACUAAAUUAUUUAGUUUAUUUGCAUACUUCAAGACUUAAAAAGUAGUUUCAGUUAGUAUUACUAAAAACAAAGUGGACAAUUAAUGGAACAAAAGUAUUUAAAAAGGUAAACAGGGAUGGGACUCAAGAAUACAUGGAGGUUUGCAAGCAGCUGCAGCGAGCACAGGCGCAGCGAGCGCAGUUUGGUGAAGGUUUUUUUUAAUCAGUUUCUUUUGCUCAGUGAAGACGACAAGUUGACUGUCGCACGUGCCAGUAAAAUCAAAGGUUUUUGAGUCAGCCGUUCCAUGUUGCUGAAGUUUUCACUGGUGCCCCCGAUAAAUAUGUGGAACUCAAAGAGAGCAUUGGCAGUUUCCAGGGUGAAAAGAGGGAACAGUGGUCAACAGUGGUCAGAAGCAUGCUUCCUCUACAACAUCUACUUUUGUCAUUGAAACUGUACAACAUCUACUUUUAUCACUGAAACUAUACAUUUGCGUGUUGACAGUCUUUCGAACUGGCUAAUGUGGACAUCGAAGACGACAGAGUGGUGUUUGAUCCAUGGACAGGAACCGAUUUCAGAACCGGUGAUGCUCCAUGGUGGUCUUAGAAACUACGUUUAGCAUUUGUAGCAUGUGUUUGUCUUAUUUUAGCUUGUGUUUUUUAGUUUUGAAAUAGUACAAGUGAUAUAAACAGAUAGGGUGUGGGGCAUGAAAAGUUUAGAACUCUAAACUAGAAGGUGAUAGGUGUAGUUGCAGGUCCUAGAUUUCUGAACAGGUUAUAACUUUUCUUUUUUGGGAUUCAUUAAAAUAACCGAGUUUUAUGUUUU